AUUGAACGCUGGCGGCAUGCCUUACACAUGCAAGUCGAACGGUAACGCGGGGGCAACCCUGGCGACGAGUGGCGAACGGGUGAGUAAUACAUCGGAACGUACCCAGUAGUGGGGGAUAGCUCGGCGAAAGCCGGAUUAAUACCGCAUACGACCCAUGGGUGAAAGCGGGGGAUCGCAAGACCUCGCGCUAUUGGAGCGGCCGAUGUCGGAUUAGCUAGUUGGUGAGGUAAAGGCNCACCAAGGCUACGAUCCGUAGCUGGUCUGAGAGGACGACCAGCCACACUGGGACUGAGACACGGCCCAGACUCCUACGGGAGGCAGCAGUGGGGAAUUUUGGACAAUGGGCGCAAGCCUGAUCCAGCCAUGCCGCGUGUGUGAAGAAGGCCUGGUGU
rnacentral:rRNA from 1 species